CCCAUUGGAGUGUCACCCCCUGAUCUCACCUGCAAAAGCUACUGAGUUCCAAAGAUUUUCAUUAAAAAAAAUUACAUUUCUUUCUGUAAAUACGAAAUUAUUUUAUCAUGGAGCCGCAAGAUAUCUAUUACGACAAGAAUGAAUACGUUGAAACGGCGUCAGGAAACAAGGUUAGCCGGCAGACUGUACUAUGUGGCUCUCAGAAUAUUGUUUUACAUGGAAAAGUCAUUGUGCAGUCAGAUGCAAUUAUUAGAGGAGAUCUGGCUAAUGUAAGAACUGGACGAUACUGCAUUAUUAGCAAAAAUGUUGUUAUUCGACCACCUUUUAAAAAAUUCAGUAAAGGAGUGGCCUUUUUCCCACUGCAAAUGGGUGACCACGUUUUUGUUGGAGAAAGAGCUGUUGUGAAUGCAGCAGUUGUAGGUUCAUAUGUGUAUAUUGGAAAGAAUGCUGUCAUCGGCAGGAGAUGCAUUUUGAAGGAUUGCUGCUACAUUGAAGAUGGCGCUGUUGUUCCACCAGAAACUGUAGUACCUUCAUUUACUAGAUUUUCGGGUAGUCCUGCCACCUGUACAGAAGAUUUACCAGAGUGUACUCAGGAUUUAAUGAUGGACUUCACAAAAAAUUAUUAUCAACACUUUCUGCCUGCCAAGAUGUAAAUUAUUUUAUUAUAAUACUAAGCCUAGUACUAAUUUAUUUUGAUGUGACAUAUGAAUUUGUUGUGCAUACUGUAAAUAAUAGAAUAUUUUCUAUUAACACAUCUCUAAAAAAGCUACAGUUAACUGCUUAAUCAGAUAAUUUAGAUAAUUCCAGAAAAGUUUCUGGAUUCACUUUAUUUAUUUUACGUAAUCAAACGGCUGUACUACGUCCUCGACUAUUCCUCUGCAACAAAAACACCAUAAAACCAUACUAAAAGAAAAUUUCAAUAUACAUAUAGCAUAUAAAAUAAUAUGUACCUUUUAUACCAUAUGAUUUCUAGGAUGAAAAUAGUAAAAGCGAUGAGAGUACCGUAACUAAGUGUGAUAAACGCGGCGUAACAUUCAGUCAAACCUACACUUACAAAACUUGCAUGUUUAUGACAUACAGGUUUUUUCGUGUACAAUCGUCUUAUCUCUCGGGUCUGCAAGCCAUUUUCAUGUAUCUUAAGGGCUCUGAAAGUUGGACUUCAAUUUAUCACGACUAUAACGGUACUCAUAGACUUAGAUCAAAAUGUGCAUUGACUACAUACCCUAUACGUAUAAUUUCAAGAUAAGGAGAUUCUUUUUGAAUGGCUAUCAAUGGGUCGAGAACGUUUAAAUAGUCAAUUUCUUGAAAACCACAUUUCUCGUCUUCAUUGAAAGUUUCUUGAACUAUUUUGUACACAGAGCCGAGUUCUCCAUGAAAUGCAAAUAGUCCUUGUCGCAGGCGACUUACGCCUUCCUCCAAGUUCAUCCACGCAGACUUUCGUCCUUUUGGAGCCACUUUCUGCUCGUAAAUUGUCUUCCUUAUAGGAUCUUGAAAGGACUGAAACGACAAGAAGAAACUCGGAGUAUUAUUUGAUUAAAACAAGUGUGAUUCGAUAUAUCAGCAUUCACUAAUAAUAAGUCUGUUACUCCCAAAAUAAAAGAUACCUGGAAAGAAUAAAUCCACUAUACAUAGUAAUUGCUGUGACUAACAGUCUAUUCAAAUAAGACACCCAUUCUGCUAGAGGUGAUAGAGCAUUCAAAGAAUCUCAGCUAUGAAAUUGGAGUAUACUUAAUAGAAUGAUUUGCCGUAACCUAUAUGUAUGUUGGAGAUAAAUUAUUGAUAAUAAUAUGUAUUCGACAAGCUU